CAGGGAAUCUUCCACAAUGGACGCAAGUCUGAUGGAGCAACGCCGCGUGAGUGAAGAAGGGUUUCGGCUCGUAAAGCUCUGUUGUUAAAGAAGAACGUGGGUAAGAGUAACUGUUUACCCAGUGACGGUAUUUAACCAGAAAGCCACGGCUAACUACGUGCUAG
rnacentral:rRNA from 1 species